ensembl:lncRNA
AAACCCCAGAUAUUCUGAGUCGUACUAUUGGUGUAUCAAACAGCUCUUCUAUGGAGAGGGAAGAAUAGAGAAUCAGAAGAAAUAUGAAGCUGCUUUUAGUGGAUGUGUCUAUCUGUAUACUCAUGCUAUCCUUGUACCUGAUACAUGACUUACACAUGUUUCCUGAGUGACUGUCAAGAGUCCUGUCUGGACUACAAAACAGAAUAUGUUUCGUUCCUAAGAAACUUGUCAGAAAACACCAGUGUACAAAUAUCAACCACAGGAACUUUGAUAUUGAGACACUUCAACCUGAGUGGAGUUUACACAUGGUCCAUUGUUUAUAAGCUAACAGCAGUGCAGCCUCAUAAAAACCUUGUAAUAAAACACCUUAUUUAUGGUAAGUUAUCAAUCCAGGUUAAGUGUGUAGUUGCCUUGAAAAAGUUUUAUUUGCAGAAUUUAAUUAGCAGAGGUAAAGACAUUCUAUGGGAAAUUUUUUAAAAUAUUUGUUACUACCAGGCAGUUCAUUUAAUGUAAUUUACAAAGCCUUGAAUGAAGCUUAGUGGCUGACUGAGAAACUUAUGAAUACAGUUCUUUUUUAAAAAGAAACAUAAAACAUAAUGAAAUGUAGCAAACUGAAUAGGCAGUAAUCCGUAAUGACAUUAAAAUAGUAUAAUUUUAAACUGGCUAAUUUUAGCACACCCAUAAGGGUUUAUUUCACAUGUUAAUGCCUUAAUUAUUACUUGAUUUUGUUUUUUAAGUACGUAUCAUUUAGUGAUGCAAUAUUUGUAGCUUAUUCUUUCCUGUUCUGAUUACAUUUCCUUCUGUUGGCAGUUAAAAAGUCUUUGAUAAAGUGGAAGAUUGUAAAGGCAAUGUCAUUUACUCGUUACUAGCUCUCUUUUUAUUCUGUAAAGGGUAUUUUAUUCUUGUGGAGAUGUAGGCAAGAGCCUCUAUUGCCUUUAGCAGGAACUGUGUCUGAUCUUGAAUUUAAAAUGCAUACCAGUGCUCAUUUAGAAACAUGGUAGAGCACAAUAACUUACAUUAACCUCUGAUGUAAAUUAAUUUUACUUUGGUACAGUAGCCUUCAUACAAAAUAACCAUGACUUUUAGCAGCUAGCUUCUUGACAGAACUGGAAAGGAAAAAGUUUCUUUGAAACAGUUUUGAUGGAAAAGAUUAACAGUUUUCAGUAAUGCAGACUUACAUCCUUCAACAAAGAUCAAAUCUGAAUGUUAGCAUACAAAAUUCAAGUUUCAUACAUAUAUAAAAUAUCUGGAAUAUGCAGCAGCAGGGGAAGGGAAAUGGGGGAGGCAAAAGCAAGGUAGAGGAACGAAUGAGCAGUCUUAACUGGGUACCCUAUUUUGGAUGUUCUGCUGCUUCCUUCAGCUGGUUUAUUUUCUGUAUCUUCAUUCUUUCUUCCUCACCACUCCUUCUCAUUUUUGUGGUUAUAACCACACCAUGACCCCUGUUCUUCAGGGUUUUCUUCUCCUGUUUUCUAUUCAACAUUGUGUUCUGUUCAUCUUCAGCUUUGGGUAAGUAGUGUGGUUAUCACUAAAUAACUAGAAACAUGCAUUUUAUGGUACAUUGGCUUAUUUGUAAAAGAUGCCCAGAUGUGCAUUUAGCUUUGCAGUAAAGGUGAAAUAGCUGAUCUAUCCAUAAAAGUAAAUUUCAUACCUAUGUGGAAGCUCUUUCAGUUACUUCUGCUUACAGAGAAGGAAUUCCUGUUCAUCUUAUUAGUUCAUCUUCUGUUGACCGCUGGGGAAGAGGAUUCAGUUUUUAAGUCCUUUAAUAUACUUCUGUGGUAGCUGACUAAAAACUAUGUAACAUACUACGAUAACUGGCCAUAAUGUAUGUGAUGAAAUGUUGGGCCACAUACUGAAGGGUAUUUUCUAUGCUUCUUAACUGUAGAGUUCAUAUUCCU